GCAGGGACUCUGCUCACCUUUGCCUCCCAUUGUGUGACACCUAGUGAGUUUUCAAUAAAUAUUUGUUAAGUGUCUGACUUUCAGUGAUUAGAAUACUAGAAAGAUCUUAGAUUCAAUACCAUUUCCAAUGAGAAUUUUCCUGUCUUUAAUUGACUUCCCCAGCUGAGACUAGUGUAAAACCCAGAUUCUCCUGUGCUGCAUACCUGCCAGGAUUUGAGCAGUCCAAAUGCCCAUGGGAGAGACACCGGUAGGAACUGUCAGACUAGCCGCUGGGGAGGACUCCCACGCCCACCGUAAGCUUCGAUUUAGAGAAUAGGCUGUAGCCAAAAGCACGCCCAGGAGGGCAGCAGAACAGAAACUGCAGCCACGUGGGUGGGUUUAGAUCUGAAAGGGCAAUGACUGCCCAGCGUUUGGGGAGGAAAAGUAGGUCAGUCCAGCGUCAUCCCCAGGCCCUAAAGGGGAAGGAAGAGUUGUGAGAUCUUUACUGUCACCCCUGUGGGUAAAUGUGGUCAUGCUCAACUUUAUGAGAACUACCUGCCCCAUUCUCCACUUCCCUUGUUCAUAAAACUCUCUCAAAAUCAGAAAAGAUCAGUCUGGGCUGUUCAGCCUUUUGUUUUUGGAUAGACUUUUCCCAAGCACAGCUUUUAAAGAAAGAAUCCAUAUUUAGCACCAUUUAAGACAACAGGUAGCACCCAGAAUCCAGAUGGCUGCCCAACC
rnacentral:lncRNA from 1 species